UAGGGAUCAAGCCUGUUGCCACAGCCCUGCCCUUCAGGAUGAAGAACACUUAUAUAAGUACUUGAUUUUUUUGUUUUGUGUGAAUAUUAAAAAGAUGAGUUUGUUGAAUAAUCUGAUGGUGUUAAAGGGCUGCUUUGGUUCUUCAGUAGGCAUUUAGAAUUUUUGUGGUAGGUACACAAAAAAAAUGCCCUGUGAAAAGAUCAGUAACUGAAUUUAAUACAAUAUCUUGUUAAGAAUGCAGGUAGAAUAAUUCUAAAGUUACAUAUGUGUAUUUUGAGCUGUGUCACCUGUGAUUCGUAGUUGCAAGAGGCCUGUGGAUAGGAAGCCUUCACCGAGAUACUUUCUGAACACCAAAAUGACUGAGGUCCCAGAUGAUGAUGACUCAAAAAUGAAUCUGCAGGAAGAAACCUUUUCACAUCUGGUCAGGAGGAAUUUGAUUCCCUUCUUUAAGGUCUGGGGAUAUCCAGUCUGGGCAAACCCUUCCCAGCAGCUGACUAUUUCUUUCCCCAUCUGGUCAGAUGAUCCCAUUAAACAUCAGCUCCUGAGCAGGUUUUGACUCAUGGAAAUGUGAUUGUCAUAAAGCCAGUGCUCUGCAGUACUUUUAAAAAGUACUUUUGAAUGGUGUAGUGUUCUAAUGAAUCUGAGAAUCGCCUCUGUGUGUACAUGUGAUAGAAGAGUUCGUUCUUGGCUUCCUCCCAGAUCUGCCUUUUUCUGUGUGGGUCCCACUACUUUCUUUCCCAACAGGAGUAAUUUUAACCACAGAAGGGGAAACACUGGCUCUCUACCAAUGAAGCCAAGCAACCCCUUCCCAUCUUUUACUUUCUCUGUUUCCUUUUCUACAGAAUGUUCUCUGUUCCAGACUUACUCUGAUUUCAGUGAACGCUGCAGAAUUCUUACCUUGCUGUAAGGCCAUUGAUGCACCACAAGGGACUGCAGUGACAGAGUCAGAGGCUCUCUGCAUCUCCUUCUGAUCACAUGAAUGUAGAUCACAGUGACACUGAGAGAGUGCAGGUGACUUGCUGUGAGCAGGAGAUGGUGCUGAAGUGCUGGACCUCAUGAUGAGCUGAGGCAUUUCCAAGAAACCAACAGAUUGUCCAAAAGUCUGUCAAGAUAAAUGAUUUUUAAUUAAGCAGCAGGACAGGGAAAAAGCAUGCUCAAGUAUGCAAACUGAUUCCAUAUAAAAUAAAAAAGUGUUUUUAUUUCCGUGUAACCA
rnacentral:lncRNA from 1 species